rnacentral:rRNA from 1 species
UACAGAGGGUGCAAGCGUUGUUCGGAAUUACUGGGCGUAAAGGGCGCGUAGGCGGCCAGCACAAGUCAGUUGUGAAAUCUCCGAGCUUAACUCGGAAAGGUCAACUGAUACUGUGCGGCUAGAGUGCGGAAGGGGCAACUGGAAUUCUUGGUGUAGCGGUGAAAUGCGUAGAUAUCAAGAGGAACACCUGCGGCGAAGGCGGGUUGCUGGGCCGACACUGACGCUGAGGCGCGAAAGCCAGGGGAGCGAACGGG